rnacentral:rRNA from 1 species
GACGAACGCUGGCGGCGUGCUUAACACAUGCAAGUCGAACGGAAAGGCCCUGCUUUUGUGGGGUGCUCGAGUGGCGAACGGGUGAGUAACACGUGAGUAACCUGCCCUUGACUUUGGGAUAACUUCAGGAAACUGGGGCUAAUACCGGAUAGGCGCUCCUGCUGCAUGGUGGGGGCUGGAAAGUUUCGGCGGUUGGGGAUGGACUCGCGGCUUAUCAGCUUGUUGGUGGGGUAGUGGCUUACCAAGGCUUUGACGGGUAGCCGGCCUGAGAGGGUGACCGGCCACAUUGGGACUGAGAUACGGCCCAGACUCCUACGGGAGGCAGCAGUGGGGAAUAUUGCACGAUGGGCGGAAGCCUGAUGCAGCAACGCCGCGUGCGGGAUGACGGCCUUCGGGUUGUAAACCGCUUUCGCCUGUGACGAAGCGUGAGUGACGGUAAUGGGUAAAGAAGCACCGGCUAACUACGUG